GGUUGUGGCUCAGUGGUAGAGUGCUUGCCUAGCACAUGUGAGGCCCUGGGUUCAAUCCUCAACACCA
rnacentral:tRNA from 1 species